GGUGUUGUCAGUGUUCUGAUUUUCAUCAUUCUAACAGCCACUGAAGAAAUCCAAGGGUGGGAAGAAGCAGAUGCAGACACCCAUUGGCAAAGCCUUUUUUCCUCCUACCUGGCAAUGGAAAGGGAAAGAAACAGAACCAAGCAUCAUGCCUCCAACUCCUCAGGUGUCCAACCUGACAGUCCUUGGACCAAAAAUGACUGUGAGAAGAGUGAAGCUCUGAACAGCAUGCCUAGGGCCUCCAAGCAGUAAGGACUGAAUCCUGGACAGGCUCCGCAUCCAGCCUUUGCUGCCUGUUGUCAGCAUCCUUACGGGGAACCCUGUGCUACCUUUCCUCUGCUACUCCAAAUUCCUGCACACAUGUGGGCCUUUUACUUUCUCCUUUGACAUUGCAAUCACAUGCCUCCAGUGAUUUUAUUUACUGUCUCUGAGUCUCCUCAGGAGUUCCUAUUUAUUCUGAACAACUACAAUAUUUCUAUUCAUGAUUGCUUUCACCACAUGAUUAUCAAAUGGGAAAACAUCUGUAACAUUACAGGUUUCCUUCCCCUCUUAAUUAUGGGCUUAGCAAUCAGACGAACUUCAAUAUUUAAUAUCGAAGCAAAACGCUUAAUGAUUACAAAGUGAUGUUCCAUUUUUGAUGUAAAACCAGAGUUAAAGUGAACUCUAAGCAAACCAACUCUGCUUGCUGACAUACGGAAGAAAGAAUGCAUUUAAACUCAUUACAGAUUAUCUGCAGAACCAUUUUGUGCCUCAGCUCUGAUCCCCACUGUGCUUUUUUUCUUAAGAUUUUUUUUUUUGAUGUGGACCAUU